GACGAACGCUGGCGGUGUGCCUCACACAUGCAAGUCGAGCGGAUUUACUUAGUAGCUUGCUAUUAAGUAAGUUAGCGGCGGACGGGUGAGUAAUGCGUAGGAAUCUACCCUAAGGUAGGGGAUAACGGGCUGAAAGGUCCGCUAAUACCCCAUAUGCGGGUUCUCUUCGGAGGAUUCGUGAAAGGAGCAAUUCGCCUUUGGAUGAGCCUGCGUCUGAUUAGCUAGUUGGUAGGGUAAAAGCCUACCAAGGCUACGAUCGGUAGUUGGUCUGAGAGGAUGAUCAGCCACAAUGGGACUGAGACACGGCCCAUACUCCUACGGGAGGCAGCAGUGGGGAAUAUUGGGCAAUGGGCGCAAGCCUGACCCAGCGACGCCGCGUU
rnacentral:rRNA from 1 species